CUGACACAGCCUAUUUUCGCUUGUCCAGUUUAAUAUUUUUGUGCAUGUUUCACGAUCCGAAUUUUCCGCCUGUCCUCCAGCCAAUUACAAGUUUUAUAGUCCCUUCCCUACAACAUUUGAGGAACCACAGUAUUGUUUAAAUGCAGCAGCUUACUAUAACAGCAUGCAAGGCAGCUGGUACCUGCGGCCAUCAAGAGUGUGGUUAAGGCAAGGGACCAG